UACGUAGGGGGCAAGCGUUGUCCGGAAUUAUUGGGCGUAAAGAGCGUGUAGGCGGUCCGGUAAGUCAGCUGUGAAAGUCAAGGGCUCAACCCUUGAAUGCCGGCCGAUACUGUCAGGCUAGAGUCCGGAAGAGGCGAGUGGAAUUCCUGGUGUAGCGGUGAAAUGCGCAGAUAUCAGGAGGAACACCUAUGGCGAAGGCAGCUCGCUGGGACGGUACUGACGCUGAGACGCGAAAGCGUGGGGAGCGAACAGG
rnacentral:rRNA from 1 species